UUUUGUUGGGCGAAAUCGUAAUUUCACUUCUUGGAUUUACUGGGCUACAUGUUUGUUUGUUGGGUCUAAGCAUGGAGUACGUGGCUUCAUUGUGUCCAGCCAGGUAUAGCCCUUCAACUUUACUUUCCCAUUCUCUCUCUCUGAACCGAAUCACACCACCACGCCGUUGCUGCCCUCCCUCUCUCUUUCUCUCUCUCCCUGGAACGAAAUCCUCAUCGCCAUCACGCCAGUACUAAGUGAAUCGGAGAAGAUAAAGGACGUUGAGUUUGAGAGAUUUCGGGAAUGGAAACAUCAGAUCGCGAUGAGAAGGUUGCACGGCUCGUCCCUUGGACUUGUAUUUCAACGCGGAAUUUGAAUUGCAUGUAGGUGGGUUUCAAAUUGCAUUGAUUUUUGGUAAAUGUGCUUAUGCUGCAUGUAGGGGUUUUCUACCUGAACCAUUGCUGCCCUCCCUCUCUCUCUCUCUCUCUCUCUCUCUCCCUGGAACAAAAUCCUCAUUGCCAUCACGCCAGUACUCUGUGAAUCGGAGAAGAUAAGGGACGUUGAGUUUGAGAGAUUUCAAGAAUGGAAACAUCAGAUCACGAUGAGAAGGUUGCACGACUCUUCCCUUGGACUUGUAUUUCAACGCGGAAUUUGAAUUGCAUGUAGGUCGCGAUACAUGCUUUGAUGGACUCGUGAUUUUGUUGAUGAAUUUACCAUAGGAUGCCAACGGAGCUACCAUGGUUUCUAGGGUUAAUCGCACAAACUUGUUAUGGGAGGAGUUGGUUGCUCAGAACCAGUGUUUUGUACGCGAUUUAGCCAAAGGAUGUGUAUGGAUGGAAGAAUGUUUUGUUUACAUUACGCCUCCGUGCACUCAUGAGUCUCACGCUUAUUCUCGCCCCCAUGGUCCAUAUGCAUGGGUUAAAUAUGUGUCUAGUGAGCCCAUACUUCCCAACCAACCCAAUGAAGGAAUGAGAAAACCCGAAUGAGACAAAAGAGGGCAUUUAUAUUGGUAAGAGUCCUUUCACUCAUUUGUAGGUAUUUUUUGUCCACUUUUCAGCCCAAAGCUCUUACUUUAUUUAUUUUCCAUUUUUAUGCUUCUAGAAUCCUAUAAAAGAUCAGAUGAGAAAAGGAAAAUGAUGAGUUCAGUGUUUUAUAUAUCCCUUACGGUUAUGGGAUGUCCUAGAAUCGUUGUUCGAAAUGUCCAUGUUUACUUUGUUUUCAUUUAUUGUCAUAACUGCGAAGGGCAAACAGCAAAGAGCUCACAUUAAACUUUAGACUUUCUUCUUCUCAAAGUAAUGCCAUUUUUAUCGACAUUGGUGUUUGAUCUGUUGCGCUUGCGUUUCUGAGCUUUAAUAAGAUACUGGCAUUGGAAAAAUAGCUAUCCGCAAUCUUGUACUCAUAAGUUAUUUUCGUGUUGUUGUUUAGAGCUAAACUGCCGCAUUGGGUGUCUUUUUUGAGCUCUUUCGACUGCCUCAACAACCUGAUUUCAUUGUGAGCACUGCUAUGUGUACCAGGGCAAUUUUUUGGUACCUUGGGCUGAAAAGAAUGGAGUGACUGCCAAUUUCAGAACCCUUUGUGAGAAUACCAAGGCAAAAACAUUCAUUCUUGAAGACCUUACUAAGACUGGAAAAGAAAAGAAGCUAAAAGGUUUUGAGUUGAUAAAAGGUGUAAACCUUGACCCAAUACCAUUUGACAUGGACUGAGAUCUUCUCAACCCGGCCCAACUUCCAAGAAGAAGAGGGACAAGUUUCUCAAAUACUAUCAGGUAAGCUCCUGUAAUCUAUGCACUUAGAUUGGUCAAAGACUGAGACAAGUGGAGAAGUACCAUGUGUAACAAUGUUUGGUCAUUUGAUAACUAAUUUACGUGUUUUGUAGCAGCCUAUGUUUCAAA